AGCCAGGCAUCAGUCCGGGAACCUCAGAUCGCCUCCCUGAUGACAAGGUUGAUGCCGAACGACGCCGUGCAGAUGAUCAGCCCCAUUAUCGCCGGGAAGUUGAGCCCCCUGCAGAGUUCACCAAAGCGAAAAGGAAAUCGACGAGAUCAGAACCGCCUCGACGACAAAUGAGAACUGACUGGACAAAAAAAAGGGAAUGAAAUCCUUCUAGCAGUUGCCGUUUGGUGUCAUUGACGCGUUGUUCGGCAUCAUAAGCUGCAAAUUUGGUUCAAGUCAAACAUUUCUCACACUCAAUUCAGAGCUCACGACUUUGCUCCUAGUAGUUACCAUGUACUCUAUAAAACCGGAGUGGUUGACAUAGGACAGAAGCUUAGGUAGGAUUGCAACACCACAUCCAAUUAUCAUGGUCUGUAAAAUUCCCAGGACCGAGAAAUUUCCUAAGAAACUAGUAGCUAAACAUGCUGGAAAUCAAGUGAAUUUCUUUUGCCCCACGUCCACACAAUGAUUUGAAUUGGACGCCAUCAUCAUCUGAAUCAUCGCUGAGCGGAAAGCAAACACACAUACCCAAGCUUGUAGCGGUUCUCCGGGACGCCGGUGGCGUAGCCCUUGAAGUAGAAGAACCUGGCGACGGUGUAGAGCAGCCCCAGCGCGGCGGCGGCGACCGGGUGCUGCAGGCCGCCGAGCAGCAGCGUGGCGAAGAAGAGCGGCAUCAUCUCAAUCGAGUUCUGGUGCCCCCUCUGCAACCCCCACAGCACAAAUCCACAAGAAUUCAGCCAAGUCUCGCUCGAAAUCGAUCAGCGGACGGAGAGGGCGGGCGAUGGGGAAUCUGGCGGUGGCGGACGGACCUGGACGCAGUUGAAGCGCUUGGCGUCCUUGUUCUCCGACUCGGUGGCGUACAUGGUGGGGUAGAACACCUUGUACCUGGAAGAAGGAGCAGCGGCGCAGGAUCGUCAAGCUCCAAGAUCAGUUUCUCCGGAACAAAAAUGGGCAAGAAACACCUACUUCUUGCGGGCGGCGCCGACCUGGAAGCUCAUCCAGAAGUUGAGGAAGGCGUAGGCCACCACGACGAGCACCACGUAGCCGUACUCCUUGGGCAGCUCCACCGACACCGCCAUCGUCGUCUACCUUGGUCUCUCCUCUUGGUUUGCCUUGGAAGCUGAGAUUGGAUGAUGGGGGGAAUGGAGAGGAGGUCUAUCUUAUAGGAGGAGAGUGGAGAGAGACCGGAGGUGUCUAAGAGAAAGUCCUCCUGCCCUGCGGCGGCCCAAGAAUGCUUUGACCGAUUCCCUCCCUCGAGCCCAUCUUGGCAACCCCACCUUUGUUCUUCUCGCUCUGUCCCUACUUUUCAACGAGGCAUUGGAUUUAAUGUUGAUACCAAUUUCAAAAAAAUAGUGAUUUUAGUGAGAUCGCCACUGUUCAUUCCAUUGGAAAUUUAUCAUCCAUCCCAACCUCUUGAUAAAAACAUUUGCUAUUCCUGUCAUGCAGUUAAACAAACUCAAAUUCAACUAUGUAUCUUCCCGUCCCUACAUUUUUAUGGUCUUGCUUGCAAACUUCAAAGAGGCCCACGGCCCUCUUAUUUCCUCUCCUAACUCUAGGCGGCUAGCGCAAACUCCCUUCUGUCUGCUGCUCUGGCGGCCGAUGGCGGAGAGCAGAAUUCAUGUGCCUUCACUCUGGUUAACAGUUUAUUAGGGUUUUUUAGUCCUUGCAGGCGCGAUGCUUGGAUGGAUGUGUCUCUUCUUCUUCUUCGAGUUCAUCUGUCUGGACGUAAUCAACGGAGCUCUGGCAUAGAGUCCUACCAUCUCCUUGGGGACGGUGAAGUUAGAGUGUAUCGUCAUGUGACCAGAUUUGGAGUCAGGUGUUUCAGGUCUAUGCAAGGGUUCAACGACGACAAUUGUGGCUCUAGUGCGCUGUUCCUUAGGGUAGGUGCAUGAAGACUUUCCAGCUAUAAUUGACAAGGUCAAGCUGGCUCGGGUAAGGGAGUGGCGACAACGGCGUGUUAGUGGCUUGUUCUGACUACAAUAAUGGUCGUUCGGUGAUCUCAGAAUCUCAAUGUAGUUUUUAUUAUGUUUGAGAUUUUUUGUACUUCUGAUGAAUCUUAUGAUAGAUCUGAUAGUUUCUUGCAAAAAAAAAAAACUUCAAAGAGGCCCUUAGUGAGAUCCAUAGUGAUGUUUGAAGACGAUGGAAAAGCUGGAAUGGACAAGGUCAUUUCGACAUGGGGAGCUACAUUCUGCUCCAGUCAACCGGAGGCCUGCGUCACGCGUGACGUCUGCCUAAACGUUGCCGUAAGAAUCGUCCCAGGAGUGAUUGUUUAGUCCUCCUGUCUAAUUUCCUUUGUUUCUCAGAUGCGGGGCAGGUGGUCGUGGUUAAGAGCACGCAUCGUGCCAAACGAGGCAUCAAUGGGAGUUGGAAAUGACUUUUAGUUAGUUAUCUUUUCUAUUGCAAACUCUGUCUUCGGGCUUCAACGCUGAUCUGUGCUUCGACACCCGUUCAUGGACGGGGAAGACCAGUCCACAAAAUUGAUAUGAAAACCGGUCAUCCAACGCUACAUGUAUACAUUUCAAGCCGGGUUCAACAAACCAGACAAAUUUCAUGCAAAUUCUAUGAAUUUCAUUAAAGUUCCGAUAUAAUUUACAUAAAACAGAUGGUAUUUCGACCGUUUUAUUAAAAACUCUCUGUAAAAAAAAAUCCUGUACCGGAUGACCACCUUAUACGUGUGUCCGCUCUAUCCUGCCGCACCGUUGUUGGCAUUCGUGUCGUCGUCCCUCAAGGGGUGCAAGGCUGCUGGAGGGCCGUGACAAACCUUGUCCGGCAGCACCAGGCCGGACGAGAUUCACCAAGAAUGAAGCCGACGUGUUGCCGUACGAAGGGGCGCGCAAGCAUGUGGUAAGCAGAAGGGCAACCCCAUCCCAGAGAGGAGGUUCACUACUGCUAGCGGAGAAAAGGCAAUAGCUAUACACCAUUGAUGCUUUUUCUUGUAUCAUAUAUGAUACCGUAUUGCAUAUAUUUGAGCUGAGUGAUUUUGGCAAAUUACUUUCCUUUUUGGAAUUUAGAAACUAUGUUGACAGCCUCAUGUAUACACACUUCUGACGUGUGAGAUAAUCUAAGUAGUUAAAAGCAGUUGUUUUUUUUAGAGAAAAGACUAAGCCGCGCCUGAGGAAGGCCCGAACCUAGUCCGAUUUUGAAUUACAAACCCAUCAACCGGCCAGGAUUACAAGGGCAGUUACCAUACAGCAGGAAAAAGAAAACGGCGCAAGAUACAAGGUGCUGGAGCAGCUUACAACCAGAGAACAAAGCAAGCAACACAAGAAAGUUGAAGAAGGAGUCGCCAACAUUGGAAGGCAGCCUCAAAGCCCACUUCACAGGACCGAAACACGGUCGCCCUGCCAUCCGUCUGCCUCCGAAGAGGGCCACUACCCUCUCGCCCUGGCUCGAGGGGCGCCGGACCAUCGGAAGGCAAAGCGCUCACCAUGAGCUCGGAUGAACAACGACGACAGAGUUGGCACGGGAAGGAGAUCGGAGCGCAGCGGGCAUAAGCAUAGCCUUCCACAACCUCUCGGACCGCCACAGCCAGGCUGCACAAGCGCAAGCAGAAACGCGGCACUGUACGACGAAGACCGGCGUAGAAGAACAUAUCGUGGGCGAAGACGAAGAAGAGCAUGAACGCCAUCAGCUAUCCCAAUCCCAGCAGCCGAGUGCCAACGUCACACCUGCGUCCCCCAGACGACGCCUCCAAGAAGGGUAGCAACAAGCAGUGACGCCGCCGUCCACCAAGGGGACAAGGUUUUCACCCAAAGCAGAGUGCGAGGGUAGGAGGUAGAAGGGGACCUCAACGAAGCUUCGAAGGAGGGAACCGGUGCCAAAGGCGUCGCCAACGUCGUGUCCUCCACCGCAAGCCAAGGGUUUCCCCCGGCCGCCCUCCGCAACGCCAUAUCCCUAGGUCGAAGAGGUCGACAUGACCGGAGCCGACCAGGAGUGCACAGACCCGGGAAGGGACAACGGUCAUCGACGCACCGGUGCACAAGGCCGCGGAGAGCCAAGCACACCACGGCGCACGGACACCACAUCCUUGCCGCCCGCGCGGCCAAGGUCACAGUACAGCACCACCGACGCCACUCGCCGCAAAGCCGACGCCGUCCACCAAGUCUGGGGCCGCCGCCCCGGCAUCCACCCACCAUGCACAUCCCAUCCAAGCUAGUCACUACGCCCACCAUCACCACCAGGAGCACUACCACAGCCACCUCUGAGCACCAUGAAGAAACAGGAGGCGCCUGCAACCGCCGCCCCACCCAGAUCCGGCCGGAAAAUUGGUCAACACCUGCUGGGGCGCCAGAUCCGGCGACACAGGGCGGAUGCGACGGCCUGAGCAGGAGCAGGGCCACAACCCUGUCCCGGCGCUAGUUGGCCGGAUCGAAAGGCCCGCCGCCACCGAGGCCCCCACCAACUCCAGAUCUGGCGGGUGGAGCAGCAGCAGGAGCCAAAUCGCAGAAAAGACGGACCCAGGCCAACACCGGUGGCCACAGCAGGCACCGCGGUGGGCCAGCAGCAAGGGAGGGCGUCGCCGCCGGGAAGGUGUCGGGGGAGGACCGGAAGCAACGACCAUGGGGGCGGGGCGACGGGGAGGACCAGUAGAUGGCGUGCGGGGAAGCCCCGCCGCCGCCUACCACCGCGCGGGCCAAGCCCGGCGGCAGUCGCCAGCGGCAGCGGGGGAAAGAGGACAGGAGGUAGGGGACCGAGGCGGCGCGAGGGCUCCGCCCCCGAGUCGCCCGCUCGGGCGACGCGGGGGAAGCGGGAUGAGAAGCCGUUUCUUUUCUUCUUGCGCCAAGCAGUUGUUUCUUGGCGAGGUAUACUUUUUUGUGCACACCAACGGUGAGCAUGCCUGUACUUCUCUUGUGAACUGACACACACUGGAGGCUUAAAAUUGUAUCAAAAACAAAUGCAUACAACCCGGACUGGACCUAGCAUUAUGGAGACCCUAGUGUGAUUAAGGCGCAAUAAACAUUAACAAAGUAGUAUCAUAUAUACUUGUAACAAUAAAUAUGUAUAUCAAGAACAAUAUAAAGGCAUAAACUUAAAAAUAAUAAUUUUAGUUCGCAAAUAAACUCUGAAUACAUCAUCUAUAUGUGAUUAUAUGAUGUAAAUAAUGAUUAUAAUAUACUCAACUAUAAAUAAUUAUUAAAUAAAUACAACCUGAUGAAGUGAGCUGAGGAAGGGGGCAUAUGCCCCUUGUUGAUUUUUUGUUCCGCAAAUAAUAUUUUCUGUAAUUUAUUUAAGAAUGUAGAUAUAUUGGGCCCUUAUUUAAGAUGGGCCCUAGGCCGCCGCACCUUCUACCAUGGCCUAGGGCCGGUCCUGCAUACAACAUCAACGUCAAAACUGACCGGAGAUAACAACGAGCAUAACAUGGUCCUCAGAUGUCGCACAAGGAAACUGGCAAGGAGAUUUAUGGAACCGUACUGCAAAACCUAAAACCUCGAUGUUACAAACCGUCUCCAUCCAUGCUUAUUCUCUGAAGAGUAAAACAGACGCACACACAUUUUUGGACACUAUAAAAGACACCACCACCGCGUCUAAAUGACUCGAGUCACAACGCCUAUCAAGUUAGACACAUCAGUCCGAAACCUUAAAUCGCCUCCCUGAUGAUAAGGUUGAUGCCGAACGACGCCGUGCAUAUGAUCAGUCCGAAUAUUGCUGGGUAGUUGAGACCCCUGCAGAGUUAACCAAAGCAAAAAAGAAAUCGGUAAGAUCAAAACCGUUUCGACGACAAAUGGGAACUGACUGGACAAAAAAGGGAAUGAAAUCCUUCUAGCAGUUGUCAUUUGGUCGUGUUAUUCGGCAUCAUAAGCUGCAAAUUUGGUUCAAGUCAACCAUUUCUCACACUCAAUUCAGAGCUCACGACUUUGCUCCUAGUUACCACGCAUGAAACCGGAGUGGUUGACAUAGGACAGAAGCUUAGGUAGGAUUGCAACAUCACAUACAAUUAUCAUGCCCAUCAAUGGGCAAAAAAUUCUUAUGCUCUUAAGUUAAAUUUAAUUUGGGAUGGUGAUCCACCCUCGUUCUUGUUGCCCGUUGUACAACAUGAUGUAACUCGUUUGAUGAGCAAUAAACUUUGAGGGUUUCAAAAAAAAUUAAAA
rnacentral:lncRNA from 1 species